GGCAACUUGGCCGAGCGGUCUAAGGCGCUGGAAUCAGGACUCUGUCUAUCCAGUCCGAAAGGGCGUGAGUUCGAAUCUCACAGUUGUCA